rnacentral:rRNA from 1 species
AUGAACGCUAGCUACAGGCUUAACACAUGCAAGUCGAGGGGAAACGACAUCGAAAGCUUGCUUUCGAUGGGCGUCGACCGGCGCACGGGUGAGUAACGCGUAUCCAACCUGCCCAUCACUUGGGGAUAACCUUGCGAAAGUAAGACUAAUACCCAAUGACGUCUCUAGAAGACAUCUGAAGGAGAUUAAAGAUUUAUCGGUGAUGGAUGGGGAUGCGUCUGAUUAGCUUGUUGGCGGGGUAACGGCCCACCAAGGCGACGAUCAGUAGGGGUUCUGAGAGGAAGGUCCCCCACAUUGGAACUGAGACACGGUCCAAACUCCUACGGGAGGCAGCAGUGAGGAAUAUUGGUCAAUGGGCGAGAGCCUGAACCAGCCAAGUAGCGUGCAGGAUGACGGCCCUAUGGGUUGUAAACUGCUUUUAUAAGGGAAUAAAGUGAGCCUCGUGAGGCUUUUUGCAUGUACCUUAUGAAUAAGGACCGGCUAAUUCCGUGCCAGCAGCCGCGGUAAUACGGAAGGUCCGGGCGUUAUCCGGAUUUAUUGGGUUUAAAGGGAGCGUAGGCCGGAGAUUAAGCGUGUUGUGAAAUGUAGACGCUCAACGUCUGCACUGCAGCGCGAACUGGUUUCCUUGAGUACGCACAAAGUGGGCGGAAUUCGUGGUGUAGCGGUGAAAUGCUUAGAUAUCACGAAGAACUCCGAUUGCGAAGGCAGCUCACUGGAGCGCAACUGGCGCUGAAGCUCGAAAGUGCGGGUAUCGAACAGGAUUAGAUACCCUGGUAGUCCGCACGGUAAACGAUGGAUGCCCGCUGUUGGUCUGAAUAGGUCAGCGGCCAAGCGAAAGCAUUAAGCAUCCCACCUGGGGAGUACGCCGGCAACGGUGAAACUCAAAGGAAUUGACGGAAGGGC